ensembl:lncRNA
CGGGUGUGCUUUGGCAGCCGCUCAUUUGACACGGCCGCCCACGCUGUGAGAAGAUAACAGGUUCCUCAUGCAAACUAGACGCACAACACAGUGGAGCUGGGGGGGGGACUUUGAAUGAGAGAGGAACGCACCGUCACUUCAUCAUCUUAUUAAUUCGGUGGAAGCUGCUGGUGGACCUGCUUCCACCUCUGCUGAAACCAACACGCCACAAAGAUCUGUCUCAUGGAUUUUUCCUCUGAGAUUUGCCCCGUGUUGCCCCCCCUUCCAUGUGUGCACGCAUGCUUGUAUACCCGAGACAAGGCCAUCCAUCUCAGACGGCGCCAUCUGUGAGCAACAGCCUUGUUUACUCGUCCCCCGACCGGAGAGCAGCGGCAGGCUGUCCACAGUUAUCCUCCAGAAGCAAUCCUUUCUCGUCCCACAGUCCUCCCUCCCGAUGUGUCUGCUUCAUCUGGUCAGAGCAUGUGACCCUAAGCCGUCCCCUCUCCUUCCCCUCAAUCUGCUCCGCUUCCUCCUCGACCUCCAACAGCCGGCUCGGAGCCGUCGGGGGUGGAGUAGCGGGGCCCCGCGAUGAAUAUUCAUCCCGCUGCAGCGGGUCGGCGCCUCGAGUCGCCAGCGUCUCCAGCCCGCAGAUGCCACCGUCUAUUUGUCACCAUGUGCGCCGUGGACCCACGGGAAGGUUUUUUCCACUCGUGGAUCUGAGCCCUCAUCAAACGGGGGGUUAUGGGGCCCAGACGGCGCCGUCCUCCGAUGUUUCCCCCUGCUGCCCGUCACAGACGCGAGAGCGCCGCGAGGCGAUUACGGAGGAGUCGGCCUUCUUUCUUCGACCGAGGAGGUGCGGUCGUGUUCUCGUGGCUUUCGGCCAUCACUCUGAUCGGCUGUGAAGACGUUAAGCCCAUCGAGGUCGGGCCAGAUGGAGGAGGAGGAGAAGGAGGACAGGCGAUGACCGUCUCAUUGACGUGAAUACAAAG